UAGUAUAAAUGGAUCUUCUUUCUAGAUGCUUCUCAUUCAAUCGACUUUGAUUGCUUUGACAUCUUGGUGAUCAGCAGGGGUUACCCAAGCUAGAAAAAAGAUGAGCCAACAACAACAAAGAGGAGCAAGCUGUUGCGGUGGCAGUCGUGGUGGAUGCUGCGGUGGAGGAUCUUCUGAAACAGUCCAGCCCAGCGGAGGAUGCUGUGGAGGCAGCAGUAGUGGUAGAAGUAGUGGAUGCUGUGGUGGCAGCCGUAGUGGUGGUGGCUGUUGCAGUGGCAGAAGCAGUGGCAGCAGCAGUGGAUGCUGUGGUGGCAGAAGGAGCAGUGGUGGCUGCUGCAGUGGAGGAUUUACUCAAGAGAUACAGCAGAAGAUCUUCCCCCAGAACCUGAAAUAGAUGACUUCAAGGACUAGAGAUUAAUGGCAGUCACCCAAAGCAGAUCCUUACGAAUACCCAAAUCAUCUUUGCUAAAAAUAAUCUCCAUAAUUUUGGACCUUCUGUUCAUUAAAAAGUAGCCUUUUACUCUCCUGAUAUGCAUCCCUUAUGAAAGUAUUAAAAUUUUGCAAAUGAU